UACGUAGGGUGCAAGCGUUGUCCGGAAUUAUUGGGCGUAAAGGGCUCGUAGGCGGUCUGUUGCGUCGGGAGUGAAAACUUACAGCUUAACUGUGAGCGUGCUUUCGAUACGGGCAGACUUGAGGCAUUCAGGGGAGAACGGAAUUCCUGGUGUAGCGGUGAAAUGCGCAGAUAUCAGGAGGAACACCGGUGGCGAAGGCGGUUCUCUGGGAAUGUCCUGACGCUGAGGAGCGAAAGUGUGGGGAGCGAACAGG
rnacentral:rRNA from 1 species